CUUCAGUCUUUUUCUCUGAACGCUUCCAUCCAUCACCGGAACCCUUCCAUCCAUCGUAACGCUUCCAUUGAUCGUACCAUACUGUCGGAAUCAAGCGCGAACGAAGGUCUUCGGAAAACUCCGUCACCGGCGAACAAUCAAAAUCUAGAUGUCUCAACCACAACUAUAGUAAGACCUGGCCCAGUUAUAGACUUUCUUAAAUUGAUUGGUCAAAAGCAAAAUGGAUACUGAAGAAUUUAAGGAUAAAAGCUGCUUCUUCAAACAAAGAGUAUAGGAUUGUUGGUUUGAGUGAACUGCCCUGCAAUCAUCAAUUGUGAGUUGUUUACUAAUGGAGUACCAGCAUUUUUUUUUCUUAUUGUAUAG